GAUGAACGCUGGCGGUGUGUUUUAGGCAUGCAAGUCGAACGCUCGUGCUUUGCACGAGAGUGGCAGACGGGUGAGUAACGCGUAGGAAGCUACCCUUUGGUGUGGAAUAACUUGUCGAAAGGCAGGCUAAUACCGCAUGAGCCCUAUGGGGGAAAGGACAUAACUGUCCGCCGAAGGAGGCGCCUGCGUCCUAUCAGCUUGUUGGUGGGGUAAUGGCCUACCAAGGCAACGACGGGUAGCCGGUGUGAGAGCACGAUCGGCCACAAGGUCACUGAAACACGGGGCCUACGUCUACGGACGGCAGCAACCGAGAAUCUUGCGCAAUGGGCGAAAGCCUGACGCAGCGACACCGCGUGAAGGAUGAAGGCCUUCGGGUUGUAAACUUCUUUUAUAUAGGAACAUAAUGAGGGUACUUUAUGAAUAAGCACCGGCAAACUACGUGCCAGCAGCAGCGGUAAAACGUAGGGUGCAAGCGUUAUCCGGAUUUACUGGGCGUAAAGGGUUUCGUAGGCGGUUGGAAAAGUCAUUCGUUUAAGCCCGAGGCUUAACUUCGGAAAGGCGAGUGAUACUUUCUAACUAGAGUACAGUCGGGGAUGCUGGAAUGUCUGGUGGAGGAGUGAAAUCCGUUGAGAUCAGAUGGAACACCGAGGGCGAAGGCAGGCAUCUAGGCUGUUACAGACGCUGAGGAACGAAAGCUAGGGUAGCAAAAGGGAUUAGAGACCCCUGUAGUCCUUGCCGUAAACGAUCUCUACUAGUUGCUUCUUCCGCCAAGGGCGGAAUAAUCCUAAGUGACUUAAGUUACUUAGGAUACUUAGGAAUCUGCUUUUAGCGGAGGGAGUGACGUAAGCUAACGCGUUAAGUAGAGCGCCUGGGGAGUACGGCCGCAAGGCUAAAACUCAAAGGAAUUGACGGGGAGGCGCACAACCAGUGGAGCAUGUGGUUUAAUUCGAGACGAAGCGUAGGACCUUACCUGGGUUUGACAUCCCGCUGCAAGUCUGAGGAAACUCGGAUGGCCUUUGAGGGUGCGGGACAGCUACUGCAUGGUUGUCGUCAGCUCGUGUCGUGAGAUGUCCGCUUAAGUGUGGUAACGAGCGCAACCCUCAUUCUGUGUUGAAUAUUCACAGGAGACUGCCUCAGUUAAACUGGGGAGGAAGGGGAGGAUGACGUCAAAUCAGCAUGGUGCUUAUAUCCAGGGCGACACACAUCCUACAAUGGCUAGUACAAUAGGUUGCGAAGUAGUAAUGCGGAGCUAAUCCUUUAAAACUAGCCUCAGUUCAGACUGAGGGCUGAAACCCGCCCUCACGAAGUUGGAAUUGGUAGUAAUCGCGGGUCAGCAGACCGCGGUGAAUACGUUCUCGCCUCUUGUACACACUGCCCGUCAAGCGAGGAGAGUUGAGGGUGUCCGAAGUUCCCCGGUUCAACCGGGGGCCUAAGGCAAACUCAGCAAUCAGCACU
rnacentral:rRNA from 1 species